rnacentral:rRNA from 1 species
CCUCCGGGAGGCAGCAGUGGGGAAUUUUAGACAAUGGGCGCAAGCCUGAUCUAGCCAUGCCGCGUGAGUGAUGAAGGCCUUAGGGUCGUAAAGCUCUUUCGCCAGGGAUGAUAAUGACAGUACCUGGUAAAGAAACCCCGGCUAACUCCGUGCCAGCAGCCGCGGUAAUACGGAGGGGGUUAGCGUUGUUCGGAAUUACUGGGCGUAAAGCGUACGUAGGCGGAUCAGAAAGUAGGGGGUGAAAUCCCGGGGCUCAACCUUGGAACUGCCUCUAAAACUCCUGGUCUAGAGUUCGAGAGAGGUGAGUGGAAUUCCAAGUGUAGAGGUGAAAUUCGUAGAUAUUCGGAGGAACACCAGUGGCGAAGGCGGCUCACUGGCUCGAUACUGACGCUGAGGUACGAUUUGUGUGGGGAGCAAACAGGAUUAGAUACCCUGGUAGUCCAUCCCCUUUCAUGAAUGCCAGUCGUCG